GGCAGUAGGUGCUCCAUGAACAGCUGUGGGUUGGACGACGAACGGCCAGCUCUGCCCGUGUACCCGGCACGCUCUGCCACGGAGGACGGAGGACGGGAGCUGAAGGAAUGAGGCCUGCCCCGCCAGGGGUGCCGGCCGAGCUGGUUCCGGCGGGCAGUGGGACAGGUCCCUGGAAGCCAGUGACCCCACGGCAAAGAUACCAUCAAUACCCCGAGGUCAAGCAAGCGGCCCAGCUCAGAGCUCCCCGGAGCCCGUUCUUCCCGGCAUUUUCUUAGGGUGUCUGCUUUCCAAUGCGUGUUAUGAAGACGGUGGGGGGAUUCCCCUAAGCCAUGAUGCUGUGCUGCUCAAAAACACUCUCCUGAGGUCCACAGCUGUGAGUCACUCUCUGUAGAGGUGAGAAGGAAACUCCCAGCUGCAAGGGGCGGGGCUGGCCCUAACGAAAGGGGACACUUGUCGUGUGGCCAGGUUUAGCAACUAGAAAUGCCGGAUGCCCAGUUAAAUUUGAAUUUCAGAUGCACAGCAACAUCUGGGACAUC